GUCUACAGCCAUACCCCCCUGAAUGCACCCCAUCUCGUCUGAUCUCAGAAGCUAAGCAGCAUCAGGCCUGGUUAGUUCCUGGAUAUGAGACA
rnacentral:rRNA from 1 species